UACGUAGGGGGUAAGCGUUAUCCGGAUUUACUGGGUGUAAAGGGAGCGUAGACGGCAUGGCAAGUCAGAUGUGAAAGCCCGGGGCUCAACCCCGGGACUGCAUUUGAAACUGUCAGGCUGGAGUGCAGGAGAGGUAAGUGGAAUUCCUAGUGUAGCGGUGAAAUGCGUAGAUAUUAGGAGGAACACCAGUGGCGAAGGCGGCUUACUGGACUGUAACUGACGUUGAGGCUCGAAAGCGUGGGGAGCAAACAGG
rnacentral:rRNA from 1 species